GUAUGUCGCCGGCAUUUUCCUAGGGGGGUUGGAAGGCGUGAUUCUAUUGGUUCGUCUAGUCUAACCGACCAAUGAACUGCGGCUGUUACAUAAGGUUACGUCCAUGAUUGUUAUUUCUUACAGCUGAUUCCCGCAGACGACCAACUUCUCGCAAAGUACAAUGGCUGGCGAUGCUGGUGUUGACCCCUCUCAGUUCAAGGGCAUGGCCCGCUACUUCAAUGCUUCUACAAUCAGCGGAAGAGCAAAUAUUGCUAAAGCAACUUACGGUGUUCUUGGGCUCAUCAUCCUUUACAAUGUAGUGAAGCCAUCUAAAAAGUAGAUAUUGUAUUUUCAUUGUGUGGGUACAAAUUUGCGUGUAGAUAAAAUUAAAUGUGUUAAGUAAA